CACUAAUCGACUUUUUUGUCUCUGUCUCUAUUGUUAUUCGUUGACAAUCAAUAUUAAAAUUCGUGCGAAUCGAUAGCUAAUUUGUGAAAAUGAAGAAUUUUCACCAUUUAUUGCAAUUUUCGGAAAACCAAUUGCUCAAAUCGUUUCUGGUGUUUUGUGUGUAUGUGAAUUUCACAGACAAUUUGUGUUUUUCGAACCGCUUUUCCGUGAUGAUUUCAAGUUGGAUUUUGUGCUUCUGCACCGAAUACACUUUUACGUUCUGAUUGAAGCCGUACUAAUUGAUGUUUUCGCUGUGUACGUGGAUUCGCAGAUCGUGGUUUCGUUGUUUUGCUGUGCUGGAUUUUGCGCCUCUGCACCCAAUACACUUUUUCGUUCUGAUUGAAGCCGUACUAAUUGAUGUUUCGCUGUAUACGUGGAUUCGCUGAUCGUUGUUUUGCUGUGCUGGAUUUUGCGUCUCUGCACCCAAUACACUUUUCCGUUCUGAUUGAAGCCUUACUAAUUGAAGUUGUCGCUCUUUUUCGUUAGCGGCAUACGUAUGUAAGUAAUUUAAAACUUUUAAAUACCGGAACAUCAUGACACGCCUCAUUCAGAUUAGUCUGGAAGUAUGGUUUGCAGGGAUCGUAGUACCACACACAUUUCAUGGAGCAAUAACAACACAACAACAACAAGUUUAAGAAAAGUACUAUAAAUUAAACGAAAAAGAAAAUUUUAAUCUAAGAAAACUAGUUAAAUAAAACAAAAAUAAUAUUUUCGUUCAACUUUU